rnacentral:rRNA from 1 species
UACGUGGGAUGCAAGCGUUGUCCGGAUUCAUUGGGUGUAAAGGGUGCGUAGGCGGCCUAGUCAGCUAGAGGUGAAAGCGUUCGGCUGAACCGGAGCCCCGCCAUUGAUACUGGUAGACUUGAGUGCGACAGAGGUAGUUGGAAUGUGUGGGGUAGCGGUGAAAUGCUUAGAUAUCACGCAGAACACCAAGUGCGAAGGCAGUGGCCUAUGUCGUAACUGACGCUGAGGGACGAAAGCGUGGGGAGCAAACAGG